rnacentral:tRNA from 1 species
GGGUAUAACUCAGUGGUAGAGCAUGUGCUUAGCAUGCACAAGGUCCUGGGUUCAAUCCUUGGUACCUCCA